rnacentral:rRNA from 1 species
ACCGGCGCACGGGUGAGUAACGCGUACACUACCUACCUUUAACAGAGGGAUAGCCCUGGGAAACUGGGAUUAAUACCACAUAGUAUUGCAUAAUUUAUUUUUAUGCAAUUAAAGCUCCGGCGGUUAAAGAUGGGUGUGCGUUAGAUUAGCUAGUUGGUAAGGUAAUGGCUUACCAAGGCUACGAUCUAUAGGGGGCGUGAGAGCGUGGACCCCCACACGGGUACUGAGACACGGACCCGACUCCUACGGGAGGCAGCAGUAAGGAAUAUUGGACAAUGGGCGCAAGCCUGAUCCAGCCAUCCCGCGUGAAGGAUGACGGCCCUAUGGGUUGUAAACUUCUUUUAUUAGGGAAGAAACCUUUUCAUUUAUGAAGAGCUGACGGUACCUAAAGAAUAAGCACCGG